rnacentral:rRNA from 1 species
AGCGAACGCUGGCGGCAGGCUUAACACAUGCAAGUCGAACGGUCCUUCGGGAUAGUGGCGGACGGGUGAGUAACACGUGGGAACGUACCCUUAGGUUCGGAACAACACAGGGAAGCUUGUGCUAAUACCGGAUAAGCCCUUCGGGGGAAAGAUUUAUCGCCUUUGGAGCGGCCCGCGUCUGAUUAGCUUGUUGGUGAGGUAAUGGCUCACCAAGGCUACGAUCAGUAGCUGGUCUGAGAGGAUGGCCAGCCACACUGGGACUGAGACACGGCCCAGACUCCUACGGGAGGCAGCAGUGGGGAAGCUUGCGCAAUGGGCGAAAGCCUGACGCAGCCAUGCCGCGUGGAUGAUGAAGGUCUUAGAAUUGUAAAAUCCUUUCACCGGGGACGAUAAUGACGGUACCCGGAGAAGAAGCCCCGGCUAACUUCGUGCCAGCAGCCGCCGUAA